UACGGAGGGUGCGAGCGUUGUCCGGAAUCACUGGGCGUAAAGGGCGCGUAGGCGGCUUGUCACGUCGAUUGUGAAAGCCCGAGGCUUAACCUCGGGUCUGCAGUCGAUACGGGCUAGCUAGAGUGUGGUAGGGGAGAUCGGAAUUCCUGGUGUAGCGGUGAAAUGCGCAGAUAUCAGGAGGAACACCGGUGGCGAAGGCGGGUCUCUGGGCCGAUAUCGACGCUGAGGAGCGAAAGCGUGGGGAGCGAACAGG
rnacentral:rRNA from 1 species